CCCACAUACAAUAUAGGGGUGAAAGUGGUGUCUUCUGGUUGGUCUACAGUGCUCAGCUGUAAGCCCAAUCUCACUUUGGGUCUAGUAUUUUGCACACCACCCCCUUGUUAGGAAACCUCCCACCAUGUUGUGGGUUUUUCUGACUUUGGCAAGUUCCACCCAGUUGUCUGGUUUGCCCCAGCUGUAAUCUGCCUUGGGAUCCACAUGUCUGUCCUCCAGCAGAGGAGAAAGUCAAUUUGUCGAGCUAUGAGACAGCAAUAGCAGCUAACAGUAUUGGCCCCAAAGAUGCAUGUUCCCCUGUGGGGGUGUUAACCUGAAGAUCAAACUGGGGCGUUGGGUGUCCAGGUAGUGUAGAACGAGUUCGAAACAAUCAUGGCUAAACAGCUCCUGGAAGUUCCUUGCUGGCCCACUUCUGAGAUGCUAUGCACUCACUUUCCCUGAGGACAGGCAAGGACCUGGGGCGCCUGCACCCCAGCUGUGACUCCUGCCACAGUUUUGCUGAGCCUGGGGUGUCAUGGCCUGGGCCUCCUCUACCUACAAGAUCCUUCUGUAGUGACAAGCUCUACAAGAGUGCUCUCCCUGGCAGCUCCAGGGACUGGCUUGAGUGUAGGCUGUCUGACAAACCUAGAUACGGUAGGCCCUGGCAUGGAGCAGGCUAAUAAAGGCUUCCAAGAAGUGAAGGUCUGUGUGGCCAGGGGGCGCUUGAUGUGGCUGAUCUGAAAAGCAAGAGGACUCAAGGGCUGGAAAACAGCUCAGGUUGCUCAACUGAGUGGGAAGCUGUCCUUACUUUGAAAAGCAUGUGAGGUCAGUUGGAGUGGAGUCUGCCCAGCUGGGUCAGUUCUGAGCCUAAUGAUGAGGGCUUUACUGAAAAUGCCUAGGUCGUCCCCGUUCAUAGGCAGCUUCAAGGGCUGUCAAUUCUGUUCAAAGUUGAGAUGGGCACGCUGGGUUCUCAUUCAGAAGUAGCAGCAGCUGGCUCGCUCUUGUAGUAGAGCUACUGUUAACCAGGACACUAGUCUCUGGCCCUCUUGAAGGUGGUUUAGAUUUAUUUUUAUUACGUGUUUAUCAUACAAGGAUUAUUCAACCAUGGGGAGUUGGUACAUGUCUGUAACGCCUUUUAAUCCUUUCUAUGGCCCCUUCCUUCCCCUCCCUUCGUCUCUUGGUUGUCCUCCCAUUUGCAAAAGAUCUAUCUCCAUUUCCUAUUGUGUUCCAAUAUAAAGUGGAAUAAGACAUACAAGCUUAAAUAUCACAUGGUUUUCCUUGUAUGAGAAACCCAGAGUAAACUGGAGAUAGUUUUGUAGCUUUAUGCUAGUAUAUGAACUUAAGUUCACAUGGGAAAAUGGCUUAAUUGUGAUAAUUAUACGGUGGCUAGAUCUCGAGCAGCGCCCAUAGUGUAAGUGCGCUCAGUAAAGGUGAGCUGUUGGCUGGAAGGUUCACUCCCCGCUGAGCGCAUAUGGCUGUCACAGGCGCUGACAAGUUAUUUGUGCAGCAAGGAGAUCCCACUGGUCAUUGGUGACAAAGGCCAUUUGAACCCAAGUGCUCUUUAUCUUCCUAUAGCCCGGCAGUCUCUAAGCCAAGUGAUGGUCCCUCAUUCCUGUCUGCUUAGUCAGCUUUCAUCUGUGCAGGCAGAGAAGUCUCAGGCUAUAUCCUGAGGAGUCACCUAAAAUUAAAAUACUUGACAUGGGAAGCUGCUUAGUUGUCAAGGCUCUAAGUAUGGGGCUGGGGGGGUAUAGAGAUCUUACAAGGUCGAAGUUGGGCCAGUAAACCAGAAAAGGUCUAAAACUGUACAAAUUCAAAGACUAAAACCAGGGGGAUGGAAACAAUGUUUAGAAUCUUGUAGCCUGAAUAUUUCCUCAGUGUCCUGUAGUUGACACAUGUCAUUUGCUACAACCUUGGACUCCUGACCCCAAAAUUGUGUGGUAAACUGUAAGAGUUCGUGAUGAAAAGCCACGAAGACAGAAGAAAUAACAAGUUCAUCUCUAGCACUGUUCUAGCUACAGUUCCCUGGGAUAGAAGCAGAAGGUGGUGUGGCCUUGCUAUUAAACUCCAAGGGACUGAUUCUCACUGGAGCCUGAAAUUCCAUACUGAAUCUUUGGAAUCUUUGCCUGCUACUGAUGCUGCUUUAGCUCAUGUCCAUUUUAACUGCUUUUAUGAUCCCCACUUUGGGCAACACAUUCAGG
rnacentral:lncRNA from 1 species